CCCUUAGAUGUUCUGGGCCGCACGCGCGCUACACUGAUGCAUUCAACGAGUUUCUUCCUGGUCCGAGAGGAAUGGGUAACCUUUUGAAAGUGCAUCGUGAUAGGGAUAGACUAUUGCAAUUAUUGGUCUUCAAAGAGGAAUUCCUAGUAGACGUAGUUCAUCAGACUGCAUCGAUUACGUCCCUGCCCUUUGUACACACCGCCCGUCGCUCCUACCGAUUGAAUGCUCAGGUGAGCCAUUCGGACUUUCAUCAUGCUGGUUUCCAGUUUUGAUGAAGGAAAGUCUUGCGAACCUUAUCAUUUAGAGGAAGGAGAAGUCGUAACA
rnacentral:rRNA from 1 species